UAGGGAAUCUUCCGCAAUGGACGCAAGUCUGACGGAGCAACGCCGCGUGAGUGAAGAAGGAUUUCGGUUCGUAAAACUCUGUUGUUAGAGAAGAACAGCGCAUAGAGUAACUGUUAUGCGUGUGACGGUAUCUAACCAGAAAGCCUCGGCUAACUACGUGCCAGCAGCCGCGGUAAUACGUAGGUGGCAAGCGUUGUCCGGAUUUAUUGGGCGUAAAGCGAGCGCAGGCGGUCAAUUAAGUCUGAUGUGAAAGCCCCCGGCUCAACCGGGGAGGGUCAUUGGAAACUGGUUGACUUGAGUGCAGAAGAGGGGAGUGGAAUUCCAGGGGUAGCGGUGAAAUGCGUAGAUAUAUGGAGGAACACCAGUGGCGAAGGCGACUCCCUGGUCUGUAACUGACGCUGAGGCUCGAAAGCGUGGGUAGCAAACAGG
rnacentral:rRNA from 1 species